UACGUAGGGGGCAAGCGUUGUCCGGAAUCAUUGGGCGUAAAGAGCGCGUAGGCGGUCCGGUAAGUCCGCUCUGAAAGUCCGGGGCUCAACCCCGGGAGGCGGGCGGAUACUGUCGGGCUAGAGUCCGGAAGAGGCGAGUGGAAUUCCUGGUGUAGCGGUGAAAUGCGCAGAUAUCAGGAGGAACACCAAUGGCGAAGGCAGCUCGCUGGGACGGUACUGACGCUGAGAUGCGAAAGCGUGGGGAGCAAACAGG
rnacentral:rRNA from 1 species